rnacentral:rRNA from 1 species
UACGUAGGGUGCGAGCGUUGUCCGGAAUUACUGGGCGUAAAGAGUUCGUAGGCGGUUUGUCGCGUCGUCUGUGAAAACCCAUCGCUCAACGAUGGGCCGGCAGGCGAUACGGGCAGACUUGAGUACUGCAGGGGAGACUGGAAUUCCUGGUGUAGCGGUGAAAUGCGCAGAUAUCAGGAGGAACACCGGUGGCGAAGGCGGGUCUCUGGGCAGUAACUGACGCUGAGGAACGAAAGCGUGGGGAGCAAACAGG